UACGUAGGGGGCUAGCGUUGUCCGGAAUCAUUGGGCGUAAAGCGCGUGUAGGCGGCCCGGUAAGUCCGCUGUAAAAGUCGGGGGCUCAACCCUCGAAAGCCGGUGGAUACUGUCGGGCUAGAGUACGGAAGAGGCGAGUGGAAUUCCUGGUGUAGCGGUGAAAAUGCGCAGAGUAUCAGGAGGAACACCGAAUUGCGAAAGGCAGGCGUCCGCUG
rnacentral:rRNA from 1 species